GCUGGACAUCCUUAGGUGUGGUAGGGGGUCCUCCUCCCUGGAGAGUUUCCACCGGCACCAGUGUGCUUUCAUUCCAGGCUGGCGGUGCAAUGCGGUGCACAUGCAAAUGUACAUGCUGGAGGGUAUAUCAAGGUGGAACAUGGGCCGGGCCAAGGAGGCAGUAGAUGUGGAGGGGGCCUCCACCCUAAGAAGCUUCGAUGUUCGGUUGAUGUCCCACCUUAACAACCUAAGCCAGCGUGUGCAUGGUUGUGCUCUGGUGCCAGAGUUCACCCUUCCUGGGAAACCUACUGGCGAACGCAUAGCCGUGGAAUAUUUAUUGGAGCAGACCAAUAGAGGCGAC